rnacentral:rRNA from 1 species
UACAGAGGGCGCGAGCGUUGUCCGGAAUCACUGGGCGUAAAGGGCGCGUAGGUGGCCACCAUAAGGCCGCGGUGAAAGCUUGGGGCUCAACCCCAGGUCGGCCGCGGCGACUGUGGGGCUCGGGCACCGUAGAGGCAGAUGGAAUUCCGGGUGUAGCGGUGGAAUGCGUAGAGAUCCGGAAGAACACCAGUGGCGAAGGCGGUCUGCUGGGCGGUGGGACUGGAAAGUCCUUGUGAGCCGACACUGAGGCGCGACAGCGUGGGGAGCAAACAGG